rnacentral:rRNA from 1 species
UACGUAGGGUGCAAGCGUUGUCCGGAAUUAUUGGGCGUAAAGAGCUCGUAGGCGGUUUGUCGCGUCUGCUGUGAAAACUCGGGGCUUAACCCCGGGCCUGCAGUGGGUACGGGCAGACUAGAGUGCGGUAGGGGAGACUGGAAUUCCUGGUGUAGCGGUGAAAUGCGCAGAUAUCAGGAGGAACACCUGUGGCGAAGGCGGGUCUCUGGGCCGUAACUGACACUGAAUCGCGAAAGCUAGGGGAGCAAACGGG